CGCAUUUGAUAGACAUCCGUGGCACCCAAUAAACGGAUCUGGGCAUUUUUUUCAAAUACGAGAAAAUGAACGUUUGGUUCCCAGACCACGUCUCAUUGAGAAGUGGUGGCGCUAGCCAGGCUAGUAUAAAGUGCUAAUGAUGUACCGUGUUUCAUUCAUACAUAAAUACACUUACUUGGUUACAUUUUUCAUUCUCCCUCAUUUUCAUUCUUGUCCCUGAGGCAAAAAGAAAAUGAUUGAAAAAUGAUUUUGACUUUAUUUAUUUAUCUAUGGUACAACAUUGGUACUUUGUACUAAUGCCCAUACACUGAGCUACUUUCACAUAUUUUCAAGUGCCUACCCCACAUAUAAUUUUAAUUCUAUGAAAAUGACGAAAAACACAACCUUCCCCUUCUUAAAAUCCAUUAUAUGUAGACAACUCAAUUAUUGCUACAACAUUAUGAAAGCAUAGUAUGAAAAUAAAAAAAUAAUGAUUGAUACCAAAUGCAUACAAAAACAAGUUUAUACUACCCUUAAGGUCACUGGUUUUGCACUUUUUUUCCCAAAUCUAUAGCCUUGUAGAAAAUCAAAGAGAAUGUCUUACACACUUUUAAUGAUUCAGUCAUACUGAAAACAUUUCAGUUUUGGUAUCUUCCACCCUAAAAACGUUUAGGCUGCCUACAAGGGCGUAGGUUUGGUCUACCAUUUCAGUCAAAAAGUGUUUCACACAUCUCAAAUAUUGGUUAAUUGUCAUAGUUACCUGAAAAAAUACACUUGUUGAAUGAUUUCAAUGCAACUUUACUAAAAAUGUCUGGUUUGCUGAUUUAAGAGACACAUUCAAAAAUGAUGAAAGAAACCAUGAGGCCAGUAAUCGCGCUGUUCUUCGCACUGAUGGUGAUGAGUGCACUAGUGUGCAAUGUCUACGCUGGAUGUGAGAAUGGGAGGUGUUAUCGGAAAUGCACUAACGAUGAAUAUAUAGGCCAUCGUUUAUACUGUGGUGGUGGAAAUGUAUGCUGUGUUUAAAAAGGAGAUUUAAAAAAGGAUUUGGGCCACUGCGAUCGCUGAACCGUGGUGAAAAACAUUAACCUUUUAAGAUGGACUUGUGGAUCAAGCAAUGUGCACAAUUGUUGACAAUAUUUUUUAUAAUUUUUUUAUAAAUGCAUUUAUUUAACAUACACAAGCUGUAAUGGGCCUUCCCAUAACAAAUGAAGACUGGAACCAAAUCAAAGCACUGUGGUGACUGCAACUCUGAUAUUUUGAAAAAUGUGACCACUUUUAAACAGAGGCAGAUACAAACUGCUAGACUAACACUCUGACAAUAACAAGGGGAAACCGUGGUCGAGGUGCUACACCAACAGCCAACUGCAUGGCCCUUUAAUACACAAGAUAGAAAAUAGUAGCCAAGGAAACCGCCAACAGGAGUAGAGUAUUAAACAUAUCAAGUAUUCCCAUGGUGUACAGUCACGACUCGAUAAAAAACGUUUACUGAAAUGGUGCUGAUUAUUGCUGGGAGUCAGUCGUUUGAGCAGCAAUGGGCAACUUGUGUACCAAACAAUUAGAGCACCCCUUUGUUGUUUUACAAAUCCAGUAAAAUGCAAGAGGAGGUGAAGAUACACACAUAUCAACCUAAAACCGCACCUAUCAUUCGGUUAGUGAGUCAAUUAUUAGUAUAA